AUUGAACGCUGGCGGCAGGCCUAACACAUGCAAGUCGAACGAGUGGCGGACGGGUGAGUAAUGUCUGGGAAACUGCCUGGUGGCGGGGGAUAACUACUGGAAACGGUAGCUAAUACCGCAUACCAUCAGAUGUGCCCAGAUGGGAUUAGCUAGUAGGUGGGGUAAUGGCGCACCUAGGCGAAGCUCCCUAGCUGGUCUGAGAGGAUGACCAGCCACACUGGAACGGCGACACGGUCCAUAGUCCUACGGGAGGCAGCAGUGGGGAAUAUUGCACAAUGGGGGCAAACCUGAUGCAGCCAUGCCGCGUGUGUGAAGAAGGCCUUCGGGUUGUAAAGCACUUUCAGCGAGGAGGCGUGACUCGCAGAAGAAGCACCGGCUAACGCCGUGCCAGGAGCCGCGGUAAUUC
rnacentral:rRNA from 1 species